rnacentral:rRNA from 1 species
GCCAGACUCCUACGGGAGGCAGCAGUGGGGAAUAUUGCACAAUGGGGGAAACCCUGAUGCAGCGACGCCGCGUGAGUGAAGAAGUAUUUCGGUAUGUAAGGCUCUAUCAGCAGGAACGAGACAAGACGGUACCUGACUAAGAAGCCCCGGCUAACUACGUGCCAGCAGCCGCGGUAAUACGUAGGGGGCAAGCGUUAUCCGGAAUCACUGGGUGUAAAGGGAGCGUAGACGGCUGUGCAAGCCUGAAGUGAAAGGCGGGGGCCCAACCCCUGGACUGCUUUGGGAACUGUACGGCUGGAGUGCAGGAGAGGUAAGUGGAAUUCCUAGUGUAGCGGUGAAAUGCGUAGAUAUUAGGAGGAACACCAGUGGCGAAGGCGGCUUACUGGACUGUAACUGACGUUGAGGCUCGAAGGCGUGGGGAGCAAACAGGAUUAGAUACCCCGGUAUA